UGCUCCAGCAUCACAAGAACAGUACAUGGUCAUCAUCUGCCCAAUUGAACACCCUGCAUCCCAUCAAGAACAGAGAUAAUGUGCUGGUGAUUGUGUUAGAAGAGACUCAUUUAAGUAACCGAAGCUGUGAAGACCCUCAAGACUUUCCUGUUCUUGCAAGCUUUUAAUUAGAAUUUUAAUAAUUUGUUUUAUAUUCUUUUUAUUGUGUUUUAUGUAUUUUAACCUGUAAUUUUAAUGUUGGGAUUUGUAUACUGCCUAGAGAUUUACAUAACAGGCAGUACAAAAAUAUGAGGAAUAAAUAAGUUGUUAUCACUCAUGUUAGCAGAUAAGUUUACUUCCAACUGGGAAAUGGAACUUAAAGAAAAAUUGUUUUCCUAUGGGUUUGCUCCACAGUCAUUGUUGGCUAUGAAUCUUGAUCAAGCUAGCCUGGUGCUCUCCCAAAGAAUUUGUGAUGUAGUGUGGUAAUCUGAUAGAAGUUUUAUAUCAAGGAGAUUAAUAGUGGGUAACCAACUAUUGAAUAUGAAACCUGUUAAUUAUUUGGAAAAGCUUACAGUAGCAAAAUACCCUAGAGCCUUCACACUAGCAUGUUUUGAAGUUUUACCUUCUGCUGUGUUUGAAGGCAGGAUCAAAAGAGUCCCUUACACAGAGCGGUUUUGUCCUUGCAAGUCAGGUGCUAUUGAGACACUACCACAUGUGCUACUAUACUGUAGUUUCUACAGGGAUACUCUCUAUGAACUAAUAGUGCCCCUCCUAGUAAACUCCCCUGGCUGCCUGGAUGAAUUCUAUGUAAGCUAUCUUUUAUCUGAUAGUGAUGACAAAAUUACUUAUGCAGUUGCUAAGUUCUGUCUCAUUGCUAUUAGAAUUUGAAGUAAAAGUGUAUCUGUAUAGCUGGACUCCAUAAGGUAUAUGAAUAUCUGGAUUAGUUAUGGAUACUCUUUGAGUUGUAUGUAUGUAUAUAUUUUUCUGGUCAGCGACUGUAAAUAAACUGAACUACAGAAGUCAAUGCUGCUUUUCAAGUUUUUUUUUUAAUUAUUAUUACCAGCAGCUGACCUUCUCAGGAAAAUUGCCUAAUUCUUUUAAAUUUCAAUGGGACUACUCUGAGUAAUUUUCCUCAUUGUGUCAACCAUUUCUGUAACUGUUUGGAAAAAUACUUUGUGAUUGUAAUGCAUAAACAUGGAGUGCAGUUUAUGUAACACACAUUAAAGAGUUAAUUGUA